GACGAACGCUGGCUGCGGGCUUAACACAUGCAAGUCGAACGGAAAGGCCCUGCUUUUUUGGGGUGCUCGAGUGGCGAACGGGUGAGUAACACGUGAGUAACCUGCCCUUGACUUUGGGAUAACUUCAGGAAACUGGGGCUAAUACCGGAUAGGAGCUCCUGCUGCAUGGUGGGGGUUGGAAAGUUUCGGCGGUUGGGGAUGGACUCGCGGCUUAUCAGCUUGUUGGUGGGGUAGUGGCUUACCAAGGCUUUGACGGGUAGCCGGCCUGAGAGGGUGACCGGCCAAAUUGGGACUGAGAUACGGCCCAGAGUACUACGGGAGGCAGCAGUGGGGAAUAUUGCAUAAUGGGCGGAAGCAGGAUGCAGCAACGCCGCGUGCGGGAUGACGGCCUUCUGGUUGUAAACCGCUUUCGCCUGUGACGAAGCGUGAGUGACGGUAAUGGGUAAAGAAGCACCGGCUAACUACGUG
rnacentral:rRNA from 1 species